rnacentral:rRNA from 1 species
GACAUAGGUGGCGAACGUUAUCCGGAAUUAUUGGGCGUAAAGAGUGCGUAGGUGGCUUCGUAAGUCCGUUGUGAAAGUCAAAGGCUCAACCUUUGAAAGCCGAUGGAUACUGUGAAGCUAGAGUACGGAAGAGGCGAGUGGAAUUCCUGGUGUAGCGGUGGAAUGCGCAGAUAUCAGGAGGAACACCAAUAGCGAAGGCAGCUCGCUGGGACGUUACUGACACUGAGGCGCGAAAGCGUGGGGAGCGAACAGG